UGAGUAAUAAACUGAGACACACAAACGACUCUUCCACUCGAUGGUGCCAUUCAAUGAGACCCUUGAUGCACGCAAACCAGAAUUUGCUCCUUUUUAUCCUCAGAUUAGGGAGUCUCUGGGUGCAGUUUGCUUCUUUUCCUGUUGAGUAUGUGUCCUACAGUGAUGGACUCCUGCCACAAUCAAUGCUUAAUGGUCUAGGGUUCAUUGAGACGAACGUUCCCAAAGGUCAAUUUUAUGUUCCAUUUUGGACAUCUCUUAGUGACUGGUCAUUUAUUUGUAGUUGGGACCAUGACAACAGAUCAGCCAGAGGUGGUCUACGUUAUAGAUGGGGCAGACUCAAACCACCUUUGGAAGACUUGUAGAAGGGCCAGAUAUGCUUUACUGUUUGUAUUGGUAUACAAAGUUGUCUUGAAAAAAUUAGCUAAAAAAAAAAAA
rnacentral:lncRNA from 1 species